rnacentral:lncRNA from 1 species
CUUCCCCGGACACCGGGUUCAGCGCCCGAGCGUGCGAGCGCGUCCCCGCUCGUCGCCCGGCUCGGCGUCGGGAGCGCGCUCUGUGUGGUCGCUGCUGCAGUGUUGUUGUGGCUGUGAGAAGGCGGCGGCGGCGGCGGAGCAGCAGCCGGACCAGACUCCCUAGUAGCUCAGGCGCUGCCCUGCGCCGGCCCUGGCAGGGAGCCUGGUGAGAUGGUGGAGGAGGAGGCUGUGCCGUGGCUGGCCUUGCUGUGUCCUGCUGCCUGGGAGGUGAGUGUGCGCCCUUCGCUCCCUGCCGUGUCUGUGAGGGUCCAUCGUUGCCGGAGACUGGAGGUCGGGGGCCAUGGGAGCCCCGGGGCGAACGGUGCGGACAUGGGCCUUGUGGAAAGGAGGAGUGACCGCCUGAGCGUGCAGCAGGACAUCUUCCUGACCUGGUAAUAAUUAGAUGAGAUACUAAGUACCUGAACACAAUGACAAAUUCUAUGAUCUUCUGAAACUAACCUCCGGGUGUGAGAAUUUGAAGGUUAGUGGAUAGAAGAUGGCCGAAUAGGAACAGCUCCGAUCUGCAGCUCCCAGUGAGACCAACACAGAAAACAGGUGAUUUCUGCAUUUCCAAAUGAGGUACCUGGUUCAUCAUCAUUGGCACUGGUUGGACAGUGGGUGCAGCCCACAGAGGGUGAGUUGAAGCAGGGCAGUGUGUCACCUCAUCCGGGAAAUGCAAGGGGUCAGGAGAUUUCCUUUACCUAUCCAAGGGAAGCUGUGACAGACUGUACUUGGAAAAAUGGUACACUUCUGCCUAAAUACUGUGCUUUUCCCAUGGUCUUAGCAACCAGCAGACCAGGAGAUUCCCUCCCAUGUCUGGCUCAGUGGAUCCCACGCCCAUGGAGCCUUGCUCACUGCUAGCACAGCAAUCUGAGAUUGACCUGAGAGGCUGCAGCCGGGUGGAGGGAGGGGGGUCUGCUAUUGCUGAGGCUUCAGUAGGUAAAGAAAGCAGCCGGAAAGCUCAAACUGGGUGGAGCCCACCACAGCUCAACAAUGCCUACUGCCUCUAUAGGCUCCACCUCUUUGGACAGGGCAUAGCUGAACAAAAGGCAGCAGACAACUUCUUCAGACUUAAACAUCCCUGUCUGACAGCUCUGAGAGAGAAGUGGUUCUUCCAGCAUGGUGUUGGAACUCUGAGAAUGGACAGACUGCCUCCUUAAGGGGGCCCCUGAUCCCCGUAUAGCCUGACUGGGAGACAUCUCCCAGUAGGGGCCGACAGAUACCUCA